rnacentral:tRNA from 1 species
GCCUGGCUGGCUCAGUUGGUAGAGCACAAGACUGUUAAUCUCAAGGUUUGAGUUUGAGCCCCAUGUUGGGUG